rnacentral:rRNA from 1 species
GUAGGUGGCAAGCGUUGUCCGGAAUUAUUGGGCGUAAAGCGCGCGCAGGCGGUUCUUUAAGUCUGAUGUGAAAGCCCACGGCUCAACCGUGGAGGGUCAUUGGAAACUGGAGAACUUGAGUACAGAAGAGGAAAGCGGAAUUCCACGUGUAGCGGUGAAAUGCGUAGAGAUGUGGAGGAACACCAGUGGCGAAGGCGGCUUUCUGGUCUGUAACUGACGCUGAGGCGCGAAAGCGUGGGGAGCAAACAGGAUUAGGUACCCUGGUAGUCCACGCCGUAAACGAUGAGUGCUAAGUGUUAGGGGGUUUCCGCCCCCUUAGUGCUGCAGCUAACGCAUUAAGCACUCCGCCUGGGGAGUACGGCCGCAAGGCUG